rnacentral:rRNA from 1 species
UACGUAGGGUGCGAGCGUUGUCCGGAAUCAUUGGGCGUAAAGGGCUCGUAGGCGGUCCAUCGCGUCGGGAGUGAAACGCUGGGGCUUAACCCCAGUCCUGCUUUCGAUACGGGUGGACUAGAGGUAGGCAGGGGAGAAUGGAAUUCCUGGUGUAGCGGUGAAAUGCGCAGAUAUCAGGAGGAACACCGGUGGCGAAGGCGGUUCUCUGGGCCUAAUCUGACGCUGAGGAGCGAAAGCGUGGGGAGCAAACAGG